AACGCACAUUGCGCCCUCUGGUAUUCCGGGGGGCAUGCCUGUUCGAGCGUCAUUAUGACCAAUCACGCAAGUGGUAUUGGGGCUUGCUAUACGGCAUCCCUUAAACGCAGUGGCAGUGCUAUAGGCUCUCAGCGCAGUAAUUAUUUCGCUCUUGAGUUCUAGAACCACCCGCCAAAACCCCAACUUUCUUAGGUUGACCUCGGAUCAGGUAGGGAUACCCGCUGAACUUAA
rnacentral:misc_RNA from 1 species